rnacentral:rRNA from 1 species
UACGGGGGGGGCAAGCGUUGUUCGGAAUUACUGGGCGUAAAGGGCUCGUAGGCGGCCAACUAAGUCAGACGUGAAAUCCCUCGGCUUAACCGGGGAACUGCGUCUGAUACUGGAUGGCUUGAGUUUGGGAGAGGGAUGCGGAAUUCCAGGUGUAGCGGUGAAAUGCGUAGAUAUCUGGAGGAACACCGGUGGCGAGGGCGGGUCUCUGGGCCGAUACUGACGCUGAGGAGCGAAAGCGUGGGGAGCGAACAGG